rnacentral:rRNA from 1 species
UACGUAGGGGCGAGCGUUAUCCGGAAUUAUUGGGCGUAAAGGGUUCGCAGGCGGCCUUGUAAGUCAGAUGUGAAAGACAGCGGCUUAACCGUUGUAAGCAUUUGAAACUGCAGGGCUUGAGUACAGGAGAGGAAAGCGGAAUUCCUAGUGUAGCGGUGAAAUGCGUAGAUAUUAGGAGGAACACCAGUGGCGAAGGCGGCUUUCUGGACUGAUACUGACGCUGAGGAACGAAAGCGUGGGGAGCAAACAGGAUUAGAUACCCGCGUAGUCCCU